UUAAAUAAAAUUAAAUCAUAUCCAUUUUUUACUCAUCGAAUAGGCAAACAUUUUCUAUUAAAUAAGUGAAUGAAUAAAAACUAAAACCUAAAUAAAACUAACCUAAUACCUACUCAACCCUUAUCUUUUCUAUCCUCCACAGCCUUCCCCAAACGCUGCAUCUUCUGCCGCCACAGGAGCUACCAUGAACAGAGACGUGGCAACCAGAACGACCACGCCAGGGCAUCCAUAGACGUGGCAACCGGAGCGACCAGGGCACGACAUUCAGAGACGUGCUUUCUCCUCGGCGUUCCACAUACAAUGUCGACGGCAUGGCUCGUAUGGUGGUAUGGAUCCCUACAGUUUGCAACUGUGUCUGUUGACACAAGAAAUGAAAUGGUUUGCAACCCUUUCGAGCAGGUCCCAGAUUUGGUAGUUGCAAACUAGAAUCUGAACAUUUAUAUUCAGAAGCUGGCUAUUAGAGGAUGACAAGUUGAACAAUUGUGAAUGAGUGAUGGGACUGUUUUGCCUCACAAGUUGGUCAACCAUAUAUCAGUGA